UUUUUUUUUUUUUUCCCCCUUAUUCAUUUCUGGUUCUCAGUGCUAGUCACAUUCAGUCACAGGAUAGCAACUUUCAAGGCUGGCAUAGAUUAAGAAAUGCUCCUUUCUUCUGUGACCCUUCAACCUAGGAAAUUUCCCCUAGUUCUGCUUCAUAUUCUUUGCUCCCAGCAAUGAGGAUUGUUCUGUCAUUGCUGAUGUAGUAGGCUGCCUCUGCUUGUCCCAUGGAACAUCUGGAUGGCCCCUAUUUUCUGGAGGACACGCCAUCCAGGACUCAGGCUUCAGUUUCCCUUUGGUUUAUCACCUGCUCCUGACACCCUAGGAGAGCCCCAGCAACACCUGGAGCUUACAAGGGAGGGGAAACUAGAGAGGAAGCUAGCCUAGUCCUUAGGACAAAGUAGGCUGUCUUUACGUAUCUAUAGACCUAGGCUAAAAUCCCAUGAACACUUUUUGAAAAUACCAAGAAUCCCGUGCUUUUCUUUAUCCCUACAUGACCCUGAGUGACAGAACAUCAAGGGUCAUGUGAUAAUUACAGUUCACAUUCUGGAGUUCUUGAGCAAUAGGCUAAAUAAACUGCAUUUUGGAAAGACUCUUACCUUUGCUAGUUUUGAUUUUGCCACAGGCAAAGCGGGAAAAGAGGGGUGUAUGUUCCUGGACUGUUUCUCAAUUAGGUCUAUUCGAAAGGUUAUUUAGUGAGAGUUUUUAAGGAUGCUGAAGCCCAUGGAGAGCUAGUGAAUCAGAAUCUUCACAGGGAGAACUUAAGUGUUUGUAUUUGGAGAAACAUCUCCGAGUCAUGCUGGUGAUCAGGCCUGGCAGAAAGUCACUUUAGAUUAUCUGCAAGGUUUUUGUGAUGGAUUCCUCAGAACAAAGUCCAAAAAGUUCUAGAGCUGACCAAUGGAUGAAGGACUUUUUUAAAAGAAUAAAGCUGGCGCUGGGAUGUUUGUCGAAGUUGCCACUUCCUUCAAGUGCCGGAUACAUGUUGUUCAUGUGGAGGCCACCACUAUAAAAUUCCGUAUCCAAAGGAUGCAGAAGGGAGACUUCCCUACCCUGGCCAAUGCCUCAAGUUUCUGCAUACAGCUUGGAUUAUCUGUUUAAAACCCUAUCAUUAAUUAUCCUUUCUUAUUUGCUUCACAGUCACCCAAAUGUGGCAUUUUUUUUCCAAUUAUUUUUUUCCAGGGAAUGCUAAUAUACUAGAUAAAAAAAGUAACAUGUGAUAGUUAAUGGGCAAAAUGCAGCUGAAAAAAGAUUGAAUGCAAACAUAAAUCCUGCAUCCUGUGGUUAUGUGCAAAGUGCUUUGUGGAAGAUCAGUUUACUUCUCUGGACUUCAAAUUUCUAACUGUAAACUGAAUGGAUUACUAUAGCUUAUAAGUUCUUAACGAACGGAUGAGGUUCCAAGUAUCGACAAAUGUAUGAAUUUUUAAUAUGAUUUUAUGAAUAACGAUGUAUGUGCUUGUCUAAUUCAAUUUUUACCACAGGAGAAAGUUCAUAGGUAAAGCUAAUUAAAAUUAGGGUCUCAGUGGAGACAGUAAAUUAGUUAAACAGCUAUAAAAAACGGCGGAGACAGUAAAUUAGUUAAAUAGCAGUAAAAGUUAUAAUAUUGCUUAUUCUUUAAUAUUCUAUAGUUACAUUAACCUGAGUGCUAAUUCAGAAAAAUCUAGUACUCUGGAUUUGAUACAUAUUAUAGUAUGCAGUGCACAAUGAUAGGAAGAUUUCAAAACUGCAUGGGAGUUCUUUUGUGGCACAGUGGGUUAAGGAUCUGGCACUGUCACCAUAGUGGCUUGGGUUACUACUGUGACAUGGGUUCAACCUCUGGCCUAGGAAUUUCUACAUGCCAUGAGUGUGGCCAAAAAAAAAAAAAUGUAUGGACAUAGUCAUUUGGGAUAUUAAAUUAUACAAUUCAAACCAAAAGUCAUCUUUGGUGACUAAAAUAGUCUAUAUUUUUGCUCCUAUCAAUUUGUGUAACACCAACUAUAUUUUUGUCAAGUUUCCAUAGCAUUUGUUUGAUGAUAACAGAUCAGUGUUAACAGAAUGAACACAUCAAAAUAAAAACCUUCCUUUGGAUGAUAAUUCCACAUAAGCUUGGAACAUUCCCAAUUCUUGGAACAGCCUUAAAGAUGGAGUGAGUCAUGAAAUGUUACCUCCUUUUAGAAUGAGGGAGUUUAGGUGUAUAGAGAAAGACAGGCUCCAAGUCACAUAGAAUAGCAACACUGGAGUAGUCUGUUUCUGACCCCACAGCACUGUGGUCCAACAUAUCAAUGCCAUUCUCUGUAUCUUUCACCACCAUAGCUAGUAAGACCUCUCAGAAAGGAAAGACGUAGCAUCUUUUUAGGAUUCGUUGUGUCACAGGCAGAAGAAGAAAGGAAUUCAUGUAAACAUUCCCCUCCCUGUUCCUUUUUUUCUAGUCAGACUCUUUGGAGAGGUCUAGUUCUCUUCCCGGAUGAGGGUCGUUAUACAAGGUUUUCAAUCUCUUUGAUCCUCAGUUUUUCUUCCUUAUCAAUGUGAGAUGGCUGUAGCUACCUCAUAUGGUGUUGCAAAGUUAAUCUUCAACAGACUCAUCUCCAGCAGGGUAGACACCUUAUCUACAACAAGGGCUGAGUUAUUCUUCUCUAACUUCUUCCUUCACCAUCCUCACUGACCAGUUGCCUCUAGAAGCCAUUUAUCAACUGCAGAAUGUCAUGGAGAGAAUAUACACUCAAACAAUUUUGAAAUUCCAUCCUCAAAUUUCCUUUUCUUCCUGAUUCUCCCAAUUUUGUGACUCUCCUAGAGAACUGCUUCUCCCCACAGUCAUUUCAACUCCUCUUUCUCACAGUCUCUUAGUGCUUCCAGCUGUGUUUCCUCAUUUCCUAUUUGGCUUUCAUGUUCUCCAUUGGACCUGAAGGAGUCUCCAGUUCAUUGGUCACAGAAUUUCUCAGGUCACUAGUCCCAGUUUGUGAAGGGUUUCCCACCUAAUCUGGUUUUUGAGAACCUACAGUUACCUUACAGGGGGGAUGAGCCCAAGUAGCUCCCACUGGACUCAGAAAGCUAGAGGACAGAGGGAAAACACUUGAAUUCCAAGGCUCUUCCUGGCCUGAUCCCAGUAACUAUCCAAUCAAAGUACUUUUUGGCCUCAUAAUUGGAAACACUGUGUCAAUUUCUCCCUAGGUAUUAACAGAUACACACUUAGAGUAGAUCAGUAGUACAAACAUCAUACAGUGUUCAUGCUUUUUAAUAGUGAAACUCAUAAAGGAUGAGUAACAGUGAGUAAAAGGGCUUCGCACACCUUUCCAAGAAGCUGAAAAUGUUACCCUGUUCCAAAACACCAGAACAUGAUUUUUAUAAUACCUUAGUUAAGACUGACCCUAUUUCUCUAUUUUGAUUCUUUUCUCUUUUUUUAAACCUUGUUCAUUUAUUUACUCAUGAAAAUAUUGGAAGAAGGGGAGACAUCUAUUUAAACAGUGUACUAGGCCACAAGUAUUAACAAAUAAUUAAGAUGCAGUUUGUCUCCAAGGAGGAUGGAAUUAGUAGAUCAAGACAGACAUGGACACAAAUGAAUAUCAACACAAUGAAAAAAAGUAUAAUAAGAGAUAUGUAUGCAUGACACAAAGAUGGCAUGGAUGAAGAGGUGGCCAUUUCUUAUGGCAGGAUGAGAGGAAGGGGUUCUUAAUUAGAUGAUUUGAUUGGUUUUUUGAAAAUACAACAAUCAAAUGAUGGAGAAAACUGUGGAGAAGCCACCUGAGACGUUACUGUGAAAUAAACAUGUUACGUUACUUGAUCUUCUGAGGGGAAGGCAGCUAUUGGAAAUUGUUAAACAGGAAAGAAGUCGUUUAGAAUCUUCACUCUAACAACCAGGUAGGGAACAUGGAUUGGUGGGAAAGACACAGGAGGCAACAAAAAUAGUGGAGGAGUGAUGGCAAUAGCUCAGGUCAGGGGUGAAUGUGUCAGAACCAGGGAAGUGGCAGGAAUCAUGAAGAGAAGCUGGUGGAAUUCAGGGAGCAAAACCGACAGGAUGUGUUAGUUAAUAUAAUUGAGAAGUGAGGCAAGGAAAAAUAGAGUACGGAUCCCAUGCUUAUGAUCGAAAUGUGGUCCUCAGGUACAAGCAUGGCUCAAAAUGUCAUAUUAAGUUGUUUUUAUUCUCUGACAACAUUCCCCAACAGACAAAACAGUACUUUUCUGAGCUUUAACUCUAUAUCUUGUCUUGCUUUGCUCAGAGGUGAUCUUCCGAAAAUCAAACUUAAAAAGAAAUCCAUCUGUCCAGCCCAUGUGUAAAUCCAAUCCUUGCCACUCCUGUGCUCUCAAAAUUAAGUUCAAGCCCCUUAACAUGGAUUGCAUAUUACAUGAUUUGGUCUCUGCCUGUCUUCCUAGCUUUAGGUACCCACUAUUCCCAAUCCCUUUUCCCUGUACACUAAUGAUCCAAUCACAAUGCACUUCUCUUUUCUUUGACCUCUGUAUCAUUGAAACGGCAGUUUCCUUUGCCAGGAACCACCACCACAUACACGCAUAUACACACGCAAACACAGCAUACUACUUCCUGGCAAACUCCUACUCAUGUUCAAAGCAUGCUUGAAACGUCAUGUCCUUUGUUCAUCCUCCUCCAUUACUGCCAUCCCUCAAAUGCUGAAUUUAUUCCACAUCUUCUCUCCUUAGAUCUUUUCCAUUUACUCAAUUACAACACAUGCUACUCUUAUUUCUGUUAAAAAAAAAAUUUCAUUUAGCCAAACACUAUGCCAGUGGCGAAGGGUAUAUUGAUAAACAGCACCGUCUAAGUUGCUACUAUCUUAGAACUUACUUCGGGGGGGGGGUGGGGUGUCAAGACAGGCCACCCAAAGAUAUGCCCCAGUGGCAUAUUGAUUAUUUUGAAUUAAAGCUACAGCUGGCUCAGGGUGAAAGGCUAUUGAAAACAACAACAAUACUCUGACCCUU
rnacentral:lncRNA from 1 species